CGCUGGAGGCAGCGGUUCAUCGAUCUCUUCCUGGGAUUUUUUGUUUUUUUGGUUGCUGGAAAGAAAUUCAAAAGCAUGAACAGAUCGAUAAACCUCUGCAUCCAGC
rfam:Eutrema salsugineum unplaced genomic scaffold scaffold_2, whole genome shotgun sequence.